rnacentral:tRNA from 1 species
GGGAAAGUGGCUCAGUAGUAGAGCGCUUGCCUUGUAUGCAUGAAGCCCUAGGUUUGAUUCCUUAGCACCA